UCUCCCGCUAAUUUUGUUAUUUCUUCUUCCUGUUUUUUAUUUUCUCGGUUGUGGCGGUGGUUUUAUUUUUGAACGAUUUCACGAUCUUUCAGUUCCAAGAAAAAAAUGAGUGCGGAUUCCUCUAAUUCGAAACGAAGCUUCAGUUCAAAUUCUUCGAACAAUCAAAGUAAUAGCAGCAAGAAGAGGAAAAGUAACCAGAAAACCCUAGGCAUGGCUUGGGGCCGCUCCUCUUUUCGCUCUUCUCCUUUCUCUGAUUUUGGAAGGUCAGUAUCCCUUAAAUAGGCUAUGAUUCUUUCGAGAAGCGUUUGCACUUUCUGUGGAGGAAACUGUAGCUGCCAAAGCUUGAGAACUCAAACCGAAAAAAAAAUUAAAAAGAGCUCUUAAAACCCCAAAAUACCUAAAAAUAAAUGGCUCUGAAAUUCAAUCCCAUCACUUUUCAAUCUCAGAAGCUCCCUUCAUUUGCUCUUCCACCAAUGGCCGGCCUCCCAAGUUUUUCAUGGCCUCUACUCUUCGUUUUGGUUCCAAGUUCGUCUCUUUCUUUCAUAUUUUAUCGUUAAAUCAUGGAUUUUGAUUCUUCUUCCGUUAUUUUACCUGAUUUUGCAUCUUGGUCUUUUUUCUUUUCUGCUAACUAACAUAUAUCUUGUGAUCUUAAUGUUCUUGUUGUUUAAUGGUAAGGUCGUUCUUUUCUGUUUGGGAUAAUACUUUCAAUUUAGAAACGAUUGAAAUAAGGAGCUGCGACAUUAUACUUGUUGAUGCAUUUAGUUGGCUUGCAGUUUAUGGUUAUAUAGUAGAAGAGAUAAGCAUAGAGAAAUGGUCGAUUAACUAUUGAACCUUAACUCCAAUGAAAUGGGGUUCCUUACCAGCUUGACCAGCUUGCUAACACAUUGUCAGCCUUCUUCACUACAAAAUGUAAACCUGCGGAUGAGGGUGCUUUUACAAAUGCAAUUUGUGAAGUAAAACAUGAAAAUGAGGUUUUAUGUUUGAAGGAUGCCUCAAAGGAUGCAAGUUUUUCUGAAGCAGGUAAUUCCUUUGAAUGGAGGAAGCAAGCUACUGAAGAAAAUGAUAAGCUUAUGUAUGAAAAUACUGAUAAAACAGUAAUUGAUGGGCCAAGUAACAGCUAUAGUGAAAAACCUGAGGAAGUAAAGGUAGUAGAACAGAGUAAUCUGCAGGAGGAGGAUGAAAGCAUGGCAAAUGACAGACUUCAGUCCUGUCCUGAAUAGUCCUCUUCAUCUGUUAGUAGCCAUUGUUUUGACAAUCAUGGUAACAUCAACAGUCAUUGGACCUUCCAAGCAUCGGCAUUCAACUCUUGGGGAUCCCAAUUUUGUGGAGAAUUACUUCAAGAAUUCAAGGCUGCAUUUUAUUGGAACCUGGAGAAAUAGAUAUCGUAACCGUUUUCGUAGUUUGUCAAAUGGAUUUACGAAGUCUCAUUUGAAUGUCUCUGCUAGUACUCAAAAGACUCCCAUUAUCCAUAUUGACAUGGUAAUUGAGCUUUUAAGCUUGACUUUUUGUUGUCUAUCCUCUUACUUUUUUAAUACCAUAGUUGAUUGAUAAUACAUAAUUGAUAAUGUGGUAUAUGGGAUUAGACUUUUAGGAUGAAUUACAAAUCUGUAGAUGUCUAUUGAGGACUACCUUUUCUUCUUUGUACAUGUGGUUUUGGAUUGAUACUAAUAUGUUGCUUGAGGACUAUUUUUUGUCU